ACAAAAUGAAUUUCAUCCCACAAUUUCAAUUUCAUGUGUUCGUUUUAGCUCUCUUGUGUUGUCAAGGUUGUGUUCUUUUGUAAAAAUUUAACAUCAGAGGGUCGGUUACAUAAGUGAAGGGCUUUCCAAAACAAUCCAUCACGAUCCAAGAAAAGGGAUAACCGCCAAAAAGCAACAACCAAGAAGGCGAUCCCGAAAAAUCAGGAGGGAAAAAGCGAGGGAAUUUCACACCGUGACCGUGAGUAUUCAAGAGUGAUCCUACCGCCAUCGCCCAUCCUGUUGCUCUUAGGGCACGACGCUCUUUCCAUUUUUCCUUCGAGCGAGUAUUUAUGUAAUAGGGAAGGGGGAGAAGGGAAGAAGUUUCGUGGGCUUCGUCUUUGCCCACAAAUCAUCAAUGCCCUUUCUUCCAUUGUGUUCGAGCUUCCUUACAGCGGCAAGGAUGUCGAACUGCUGGAGCAAUUCUGCAAGAUAAGGGGUCCAUCCUAUGGUACUAAGGGCCAAAGUUCUGCUUGCUUUUGAAGAAAAUGGAUCCUCUAAGGUCGGUGGUAGAUUUGAUAAACCAGUUUUGGAGGGAAAUGACCUUGGUGGUCUAUGUGAGCAAAAUCAUGGUUUUUUUUGCACUGCUGACUACUUGCAUUUAGAAAGUUCUUCCGGUGAGAAAAUUGACAAGAUUGCUAUCAACGCAAUGUUUGAGGCAUCGUACAUCUCUUUUGGUUAACAUACCCACUUGUAAUGGGAUGAACCUGUGAUACCAAAAUCGUUAUGUAGAUGAGGAACAUGCAGCAUUCAUUUUGGCUUCAACUCUUUACAAUGUCUUGAAGGACAAAGUGAAAGAAGGUUAUGUAUUAUGGAUAUGACUCCAAUGCAGCAGCGUUGGUCAAGGCACAGUCAUUGCUGCUGAUGAAGAUUACGGCAGUUUCUAAACAAGAGAUGCCAUACCAUAGUCGUCAAAUAAAUAAAUAAAGAUAAAUCUCUGUUGUAACAGAUCCUAUUAUUUUGAAGCAAUCUUUGAAAAUGGUUGUAGAGAUC